UCGUCUCAAAGAUUAAGCCAUGCAUGUGUAAGUAUAAAUAUUUAACUUUGAAACUGCGAAUGGCUCAUUAUAUCAGUUAUAGUUUAUUUGAUGAAAAGUACUACUUGGAUAACCGUAGUAAUUCUAGAGCUAAUACAUGAUAAAAUCCUCGACUUUGAAGAGGUGUAUUUAUUAGAAUGAAACCAAUAGACUUCGGUCUGUUUGUGAGUAAUAAUAACUAAUCGUAUCGCAUGCUUAGGUAGCGAUAUGUCUUUCAAGUUUCUGCCCUAUCAGCUUUGGAUGGUAGUGUAUUGGACUACCAUGGCAGUAACGGGUAACGAAGAAUUUGGGUUCGAUUUCGGAGAGGGAGCCUGAGAGAUGGCUACCACAUCCAAGGAAGGCAGCAGGCGCGUAAAUUACCCAAUCCUGACAUAGGGAGGUAGUGACAAUAAAUCACAAUGCGGAACUAUUAGUUUUGCAAUUGGAUUGAGAACAAUGUACAAAUGUUAUCGAUAAACAAUUGG
rnacentral:rRNA from 1 species